rnacentral:rRNA from 1 species
UACGGGGGGAGCAAGCGUUGUUCGGAUUUACUGGGCAUAAAGGGCGCGUAGGCGGCCACCGCAAGUCGACUGUGAAAUCUCCGGGCUUAACCCGGAAAGGUCAGCCGAUACUGCGGGGCUAGAGUGCAGAAGGGGCAACUGGAAUUCUCGGUGUAGCGGUGAAAUGCGUAGAUAUCGAGAGGAACACCUGCGGCGAAGGCGGGUUGCUGGGCUGACACUGACGCUGAGGCGCGAAAGCUAGGGGAGCGAACGGG